CCCAGCGUGAUUCCAGGACUCAAAGCGUCUCUGUUAGACCCCGUGCCCGAGGUGCGGACGGUGUCUGCUAAGGCUCUGGGUGCUAUGGUGAAGGGAAUGGGUGAGUCCUCUUUCGACGAUCUGCUGCCGUGGCUCAUGGAGACACUGGCGUCUGAACAGAGCUCUGUGGAUCGAUCCGGUGCCGCUCAAGGUUUGGCUGAAGUUAUGGCAGCGUUAGGUGUGGAGAAGCUGGAUAAACUGAUGCCAGAUGUGGUUCAGACGGCCAGUAAGGUGGACAUCGCCUCU